rnacentral:rRNA from 1 species
UACGAAGGGGGCUAGCGUUGCUCGAAAUCACUGGGCGUAAAGCGCACGUAGGCGGCUUUUUAAGUCAGGGGUGAAAUCCUGGAGCUCAACUCCAGAACUGCCUUUGAUACUGAGAAGCUUGAGUCCGGGAGAGGUGAGUGGAACUGCGAGUGUAGAGGUGAAAUUCGUAGAUAUUCGCAAGAACACCAGUGGCGAAGGCGGCUCACUGGGCCGGUACUGACGCUGAGGAGCGAAAGCGUAGGGAGCGAACAGG